UUAGAUUUCAUUUUUCAGCUGGCGGGCAACGUUUGCACAGAAAUGUUUGAUUUUUUGCAUCCUCACCAACCUAAUCUUAAAACUCGUUUAAAUGAUCAUGUGAAGCCUCUGUGCUGCUUUGUAGCCUACAUGCUGCUUUUUGUUUUGAUGACUCAUGCAGCGUUGCGACGUG